rnacentral:pre_miRNA from 1 species
ACAACAUUCGGACCGUCGGUCUACCGAGCACUAUCAUCCGCUCGGUGGAACAUCUUCCCUUUGUCGU